rnacentral:rRNA from 1 species
AGAGUUUGAUCAUGGCUCAGGACGAACGCUGGCGGCGUGCCUAAUACAUGCAAGUCGAGCGCGUGAAACUUUUGGAUCCCUUCGGGGUGAAGAUUGUGGAUCGAGCGGCGGACGGGUGAGUAACACGUGGGCAACCUGCCUGUAAGCCUGGGAUAACUUCGGGAAACCGGAGCUAAUACCGGAUAUCUUUGAGAUCACAUGAUAUCAAAGUGAAAGAUGGUUCUGCCAUCACUUACAGAUGGGCCCGCGGCGCAUUAGCUAGUUGGUAGGGUAAUGGCCUACCAAGGCGACGAUGCGUAGCCGACCUGAGAGGGUGAUCGGCCACACUGGGACUGAGACACGGCCCAGACUCCUACGGGAGGCAGCAGUAGGGAAUCUUCGGCAAUGGACGAAAGUCUGACCGAGCAACGCCGCGUGAGCGAUGAAGGUCUUCGGAUCGUAAAGCUCUGUUGUCAGAGAAGAACAAGUGGUAGAGGAAAUGCUAUUACCUUGACGGUAUCUGACCAGAAAGCCCCGGCUAACUACGUGCCAGCAGCCGCGGUAAUACGUAGGGGGCAAGCGUUGUCCGGAAUUAUUGGGCGUAAAGCGCGCGCAGGCGGUUCUUUAAGUCUGAUGUGAAAGCCCACGGCUCAACCGUGGAGGGUCAUUGGAAACUGGAGAACUUGAGUGCAGAAGAGGAGAGUGGAAUUCCACGUGUAGCGGUGAAAUGCGUAGAUAUGUGGAGGAACACCAGUGGCGAAAGCGGCUCUCUGGUCUGUAACUGACGCUGAGGCGCGAAAGCGUGGGGAGCAAACAGGAUUAGAUACCCCCGUAGUCC